AGCUCCUGUCUUCAUUUUGCUUCAAGCUUCAGUUUUUAGUUUUAAAUUCUAUUUAAAUUGAGAGAGUUAAUCGCAAAUAGGAAGGAAGGGGAUAGAUAUGAUGCUGAGGGCAAGAAGGCACAGCUCCUCUACAACCUUCAAUUCAAACUUUGGAUAUCGAACAGGAACACAGAGAUAAGAGGCACUUUCAACCAGAUAUGGAGAAACCAAAUGUAUAAUCCACGCCAAUGCAGUGAGAGAGAAGAAGCCUCACGAAGCUCUCCGGUGCAGACGCGGACAUAUUUCAUUGAAAAGCACAAAGCAACACAGCGCCAGAAGUAGAAGCCUUGAUCUGAUGAGUUGUUGCAGAUGACAAUGGAUUUCUCGAUAAAAAUUAAAAUGGACACUUUUCAUUUCCCAUUGUUUAUGCUUAAUUUUUGAUUUUUCGAUUAAUUAAGCAACAUUAAUCUUAUUUUAUUUCUGUAAUUUUUUGGGGUUGAGCAGAGAUCUAGUUCUUUAUCAUUGGGUGAGUGGAUCUGUGCGGCAUUUACACUGUUUGGUUAAAAGGAUUGGUUAUUGAUGAGAUAUAAAUCUGUUGAGCUUCUUAAAGGCUCUCUUUUGGUUUAUAUAAUUAUGUGAUUGUAAAUUUGAUAAUAGAUCAAUGAAGGCCUUUCUUCUUCA